UACGAGAGCCUCGAGCGUUAUCCGGAAUUAUUGGGCGUAAAGGGUGCGUAGGUUGUUCUGUUAGUCUUUUGUCAAAGCCCGGGGCUUAACUUCGGGAAGGCGGGGGAAACGGCAGAACUUGAAAGUGCGAGGGGUGUACGGAACUCAUGGUGUAGCGGUGAAAUGCGUUGAUAUCAUGGGGAACACCAAAAGCGAAAGCAGUACACUGGCGCAUAUUUGACACUGAAGCACGAAAGCGUGGGUAGCGAAU
rnacentral:rRNA from 1 species